rnacentral:rRNA from 1 species
GUGGAUGCCUUGGCACUAGAAGCCGAUGAAGGACGUUACUAACGACGAUAUGCUUUGGGGAGCUGUAAGUAAGCUUUGAUCCAGAGAUUUCCGAAUGGGGAAACCCAGCAUGAGUUAUGUCAUGUUAUCGAUAUGUGAAUACAUAGCAUAUCAGAAGGCACACCCGGAGAACUGAAACAUCUUAGUACCCGGAGGAAGAGAAAGAAAAUUCGAUUCCCUUAGUAGCGGCGAGCGAAACGGGAAGAGCCCAAACCAACAAGCUUGCUUGUUGGGGUUGUAGGACACUCUAUACGGAGUUACAAAGGACGACAUUAGACGAAUCAUCUGGAAAGAUGAAUCAAAGAAGGUAAUAAUCCUGUAGUCGAAAAUGUUGUCUCUCUUGAGUGGAUCCUGAGUACGACGGAGCACGUGAAAUUCCGUCGGAAUCUGGGAGGACCAUCUCCUAAGGCUAA